CCAGCAGGUACCAUCUUAAUCUAAUAAACCUCCACCCACUCUGUUUGAAAAGCAGGUGGGGGCUAAUAAAAAAGGUUUCUCAAAAUUUUAACAUGGACUGUUAUUACACAUUUCAAGCCCCCGCUCACAAGGUUUUUUAUGAUGACCAUAAAAAGGGGCUGAAAGCUCAAACUAGGCAAACAGGGAUUCUGGUGUUUUUCCAGAGUAUGAAGAGCUGGUGGGUUUUGGACCAGUGACUAGCUUCAGCAGAGCCCAGAUACAAUGUGGAUGAUUUAUUGGGAACUGGUGUGUGACCAAUACCAACUCAUCUUCUAGAAAAAAGAGAGAGAGAUGUUUAAAUUGUGCCUCAGAGCAUUAAACUAGAAAAAGAAAAUCCAUAGCCAGAUACACUGCUCAACCUCUAUGGAGAUCAGAGCAUAAAUAAAUGCGGUACAAAAUGUU